GAGAGACUCACUGCCCAUCGUCCCAGCUCAACACUGCAAAUAUCCUUGGGAAAGGAGAGGAAGGGAGCCUGAUUAUACAGGAGAACUCUACAUAGGCAGAGGUGUCUUCAAAUUUGAACAAGGCUUCAUAUGAACACUAGUUGUGGAGGAGAGGAGAGACUCACUGCCCAUCGUCCCAGCUCAACACUGCAAAUAUCCUUGGGAAAGGAGAGGAAGGGAGCCUGAUUAUACAGGAGAACUCUACAUAGGCAGAGGUGUCUUCAAAUUUGAACAAGGCUUCAUAUGAACACUAGUUGUGGAGGAGAGGAGAGACUCACUGCCCAUCGUCCCAGCUCAACACUGCAAAUAUCCUUGGGAAAGGAGAGGAAGGGAGCCUGAUUAUACAGGAGAACUCUACAUAGGCAGAGGUGUCUUCAAAUUUGGUGAGCACUUACAAACCAUAAUAAAAAUGGUUGUAUUAUACCUGGCCUACCUUGCAUGUUUAGGGGUAUUAUAUCAUUUUAGUAUUGAAUCAUGCA